rnacentral:rRNA from 1 species
AGCGGCAGACGGGUGAGUAACGCGUGGGAACGUACCUUUUGCUACGGAAUAACUCAGGGAAACUUGUGCUAAUACCGUAUGUGCCCUUCGGGGAAAGAUUUAUCGGCAAAGGAUCGGCCCGCGUUGGAUUAGCUAGUUGGUGAGGUAAAGGCUCACCAAGGCGACGAUCCAUAGCUGGUCUGAGAGGAUGAUCAGCCACACUGGGACUGAGACACGGCCCAGACUCCUACGGGAGGCAGCAGGC